rnacentral:rRNA from 1 species
AUAGGUGGGAGGCUUGGAAGUGUGGACGCCAGUCUGCAUGGAGCCGACCUUGAAAUACCACCCUUUAAUGUUUGAUGUUCUAACGUUGACCCGUAAUCCGGGUUGCGGACAGUGUCUGGUGGGUAGUUUGACUGGGGCGGUCUCCUCCUAAAGAGUAACGGAGGAGCACGAAGGUUGGCUAAUCCUGGUCGGACAUCAGGAGGUUAGUGCAAUGGCAUAAGCCAGCUUGACUGCGAGCGUGACGGCGCGAGCAGGUGCGAAAGCAGGUCAUAGUGAUCCGGUGGUUCUGAAUGGAAGGGCCAUCGCUCAACGGAUAAAAGGUACUCCGGGGAUAACAGGCUGAUACCGCCCAAGAGUUCAUAUCGACGGCGGUGUUUGGCACCUCGAUGUCGGCUCAUCACAUCCUGGGGCUGAAGUAGGUCCCAAGGGUAUGGCUGUUCGCCAUUUAAAGUGGUACGCGAGCUGGGUUUAGAACGUCGUGAGACAGUUCGGUCCCUAUCUGCCGUGGGCGCUGGAGAACUGAGGGGGGCUGCUCCUAGUACGAGAGGACCGGAGUGGACGCAUCACUGGUGUUCGGGUUGUCAUGCCAAUGGCACUGCCCGGUAGCUAAAUGCGGAAGAGAUAAGUGCUGAAAGCAUCUAAGCACGAAACUUGCC